CCUACGGGAGGCUGCAGUGGGGAAUAUUGCACAAUGGGGGAAACCCUGAUGCAGCGACGCCGCGUGAGUGAAGAAGUAUUUCGGUAUGUAAAGCUCUAUCAGCAGGGAAGAAAAUGACGGUACCUGAUUAAGAAGCCCCGGCUAACUACGUGCCAGCAGCCGCGGUAAUACGUAGGGGGCAAGCGUUAUCCGGAUUUACUGGGUGUAAAGGGGGCGUAGACGGCAGCACAAGUCUGGAGUGAAAUGCCGGGGCUUAAACCCGGAACUGCUUUGGAAACUGUGCAGCUAGAGUGCAGGAGAGGUAAGUGGAAUGCCUAGUGUAGCGGUGAAAUGCGUAGAUAUUAGGAGGAACACCAGUGGCGAAGGCGGCUUACUGGACUGUAACUGACGUUGAGGCUCGAAAGCGUGGGGAGCAAACAGGAUUAGAUACCCUAGUAGUC
rnacentral:rRNA from 1 species